rnacentral:lncRNA from 1 species
AAUAAUAUUUAUUUCUCUUUUAAUUCACACCGAUUACUUGCAUGACGUAAUCAUAAUAAUAAGUGGUCACCGCGAGAAAACUUUUUAAAUUCAGUUUUCAAACAAAUUCCAUAACGAAAGUCAUAUUUCUGAUCAUCCACCGACUAACUGUCACUAUCUAAAAAAUCAUUUUAAAAUUUACUUGUGCAUACAAUCUGGUUUCACACAAUAAUUUUGGUUUUGGAAUGUGAAAAAGUCACAAAAAGUCCUGACUUUUUGGCCAGAUUUUGCGAGGUAGCGUAUAUUGUUAGGACGCUCUCGUUUUGAUAUGCCGUUAAUUUGAGACCAAUUCAAUUUGAGACCGUCUAGUUUGAGGCCUGUACGAAUAAAGUCAACCAUAUUUUGAUUGUUUUACAAUUGCUUAUCCUGUUUGAUGAAUUUCCACUACAUACCCAUUGGGAAAACUAAAGUAAUAAAUUUUAUUUAAUAUUUCUCAUCGAUUCGGAAUGUGACGACAGAAUCCAGCUUAUUUCCUGUUUUUUUUUGAAAAUUGAAUAUUUAGUUUCUAAAGAAUUUUGUUAGAAUACUCUGCUACAUAAUAUUAUAUUAUUUCUUAUUUGUGAAGACUAAGAAAGCUUUCCGGCGUCCAAAAAUAAGUUAAUUACAUAGUAAAUAAUAAUAAUAUCUUCUUUUUCGUUUUGAUAAAAUUAUAAUUUUUUUUGUUAUUUAAUUGAACGAUAAAUAUACCAUACUCUAACGUUA